UACGUAGGGGGCAAGCGUUGUCCGGAUUUAUUGGGCGUAAAGAGCGUGUAGGCGGUUUGGUAGGUCCGUUGUGAAAACUCGAGGCUCAACCUCGAGACGCCGAUGGAAACCAUCAGACUAGAGUCCGGAAGAGGAGAGUGGAAUUCCUGGUGUAGCGGUGAAAUGCGCAGAUAUCAGGAAGAACACCCGUGGCUAAGGCGGCUCCUCUGGGCCGAUACUGACACUGAGGAGCGAAAGCGUGGGGAGCGAACAGG
rnacentral:rRNA from 1 species